rnacentral:ncRNA from 2 species
UGUGGUAUAAUGUAAACUGUCGUAAAACGACCCUUGGUGCUUAGUUCCCUUUCACCAAGCAUAUUAGAAACGUAAAUGAUCCUUAGAUUAUUUGGCGUUAAAGGAGAAAAAAUG